ACACCUGUGCUUAUUUACUUUGUUUUACAUUGUUCGUUGUUUUAAUUACUUUUGCGGUACAAACAAUGCUCGGCACUGUUUGUUUGUCUGUCGCAGAAUAUACUGGUUUUGUUUUUGUGCUGUUAAUAUGAGAUAUUUUAAUCUUUUCCUCGCACUAAUGCUGCUGCUCUGCCAGUCAAGUGCGAAAGUGUGCGACUGCCCGGAUUACUUUAGAUGCGCGUGCGCAACCAACGGGCUCACUUAUCGGAACACUUGUGUAAUGAGCUGUGCAGGCGCUACGUACUACCACGGCGGCACUUGCAGCGAUCCAAAUAAUUACAUUGAUUGUUAAUUAAGUUUAAUAAAGUUUUUAAAAUGUACUUUUAAGGCCGGUAGAUCUAUUUUCUUAAA